rnacentral:rRNA from 1 species
GUACACGCUGUGACUAGCAUAUCAAUAAGCGGAGGAAAAGGAGUAUACCUACGCUUAGGAUGUUGACACACGCGCGUGCUCGAUGAUAGUCUAUACAUGACUCUGUGCAUAUCAAUAAGCGGAGGAAAAGAAACUAACAAGGAUUCCCCUAGUAACGGCGAGUGAAGCGGGAAGAGCUCAAAUUUGAAAUCUUAAAGGGUUUCCCUUUACGAAUUGUAGUUUAAAGAAGUGUUUUCUGUUGAGGUUUUGGUAAAAGUUCUUUGGAAUAGGACAUCAGUAGAGGGUGAGAAUCCCGUAUUUGACCCUUACUUUCAACUUUGUGAUACACUUUCAAAGAGUCGGAUUGUUUGGGAAUGCAGUCCAAAAUGGGUGGUAAAUUUCAUCUAAAGCUAAAUAUUGGCGAGAGACCGAUAGCGAACAAGUACCGUGAGGGAAAGAUGAAAAGAACUUUGAGAAGAGAGUUAAACAGUACGUGAAAUUGUCAAAAGGGAAGCGUUUGACACCAGUGUUGUUUUUCUGAAAAUCAAUUAAAGAACUGUUUAUGCUAAGUUGUUUAGACUUUAUCAGCUAACUGUUUAGUUUUGAGCUUUUCUUUAAUGCACUUUUCAGUUAACAAGUCAACAUCAAUUUCUUUUGCUGUAAAAAAGCUUGAGGAAGGUGGCUUGAGAUUCGUCUUAAGUGUUUAUAGCCUCUUGCCUAUGCAGUCGGAGAGAUUGAGGUCUGCAGCGUAGAUCCUUCGGGGCUAAAUGCAUUUGUGCUAAGUUAUAGCAUUUUAUAGACAACUUGUUGACUAUGAUUUGUCUUGUAGCUUACUCGCUUAUGUUAUUUUACCUACGCUUAGGAUGUUGAAGAUGUAGCACAUCAU